rnacentral:ribozyme from 11 species
AUGAAAACGACACCAUAUGAAAAGAAAACAUGCAGAGGCAUUAGUUUUGUUUGUUUGCUGCUGCGCAGAAGGAUUCAUUAUUCUUUUCAUUUCAUAUAUAUCUUCUCAUUUCUAGCCUGACUCCUUCCUUCCUCAUCCCCAUGAUGGUGAUGACGACACACAGUAUCUAGGAGUAGCAGUAUAUACAG